rnacentral:rRNA from 1 species
GACGAACGCUGGCGGCGUGCCUAAUACAUGCAAGUCGAACGCUUCUUUUCCCACCGGAGCUUGCUCCACCGGGAAAAGAGGAGUGGCGAACGGGUGAGUAACACGUGGGUAACCUGCCCAUCAGAAGGGGAUAACACUUGGAAACAGGUGCUAAUACCGUAUAACAAUCGAAACCGCAUGGUUUCGUUUUGAAAGGCGCUUUACGGUGCCGCUGAUGGAUGGACCCGCGGUGCAUUAGCUAGUUGGUGAGGUAACGGCUCACCAAGGCCACGAUGCAUAGCCGACCUGAGAGGGUGAUCGGCCACAUUGGGACUGAGACACGGCCUAAACUCCUACGGGAGGCAGCAGUAGGGAAUCUUCGGCAAUGGACGAAAGUCUGACCGAGCAACGCCGCGUGAGUGAAGAAGGUUUUCGGAUCGUAAAACUCUGUUGUUAGAGAAGAACAAGGGUGAGAGUAACUGUCCACCCCUUGACGGUAUCUAACCAGAAAGCCACGGCUAACUACGUGCCAGCAGCCGCCGUAA